rnacentral:rRNA from 1 species
AUUGAACGCUGGCGGCAUGCCUUACACAUGCAAGUCGAACGGUAACGCGGGGCAACCUGGCGACGAGUGGCGAACGGGCGAGUAAUGCAUCGGAACGUGCCCAGUAGUGGGGGAUAACUGCUCGAAAGAGCAGCUAAUACCGCAUACGACCUGAGGGUGAAAGCGGGGGAUCGCAAGACCUCGCGCUAUUGGAGCGGCCGAUGUCAGAUUAGGUAGUUGGUGGGUAAAGGCCCACCAAGCCAACGAUCUGUAGCUGGUCUGAGAGGACGACCAGCCACACUGGGACUGAGACACGGCCCAGACUCCUACGGGAGGCAGCAGUGGGGAAUUUUGGACAAUGGACGCAAGUCUGAUCCAGCCAUGCCGCGUGCGGGAAGAAGGCCUUCGGGUUGUAAACCGCUUUUGUCAGGGAAGAAACGCUCUGGGUUAAUACCUCGGGGUAAUGACGGUACCUGAAGAAUAAGCACCGGCUAACUACGUGCCAGCCGCCGCAGUAAAAC